AUGGACCACCAACAGUCCAGGUUUUGUCUGUAUCUCCAUUGGAAUAAAACAGGGAAAUACAUAAAUCCUGGACUGUUGGUGAUCCAUGAAGACU